AACCUUAGACCUUGUCGACGGUGCUAUGUGUUUCCUUGUCUGCCGGUCUUUUAUUCCAUCCAAAAGACGAAUAAGCAUAAUAUUUCCUGGUAACUCGUUCACAUUCUCAGUGACAAGACGGCGACAUUCAGGACAACGUAGCUCUUGCCUCGAAGCUACGAUAGCUUUUAAACAGCCUUUACAAAACGUAUGUUGACAGGGUAAAACCUUGCAUGUCUCAUCCAAACGUUCAAGACAUACAGAACAAUCAAGUCCUUCGAUAAUUGCCAAAGCAUCCAUAGCUACUGCCACUAAAUAUGCUUGCUUAAUAGUUAAUACUGGUCAGAUGGCAGAUGCAGAGCAUUAUCUAUAUAACAUAGACAGCACUCAAGCCGAUUUCCUGGCUGAGUAAAAAGCUAUAGAGAAUCGCCGACAAUCAUACUAAAGAAUAAAACGUUGUUCAUGUAACAAUUCUCCUUCAAUUGGCUGGAAACUGCAACAACCAAAUCUACAAAUUAUGUAGCACUGUGUGACUGUGUGCAACAACAUUAGCAGUGCUACAAAUGUG